ensembl:lncRNA novel transcript
GUGUAAAAGACGGCUAAACAUUUAAAUUGCCUUUAUUUACUUAGCUUAAUUGCAUUUUAGAUGCUACGUAUUUCUAGCUUCCCCUGUGCUAACCAGCUUCACAGUCCAUAGAGAUGAGAUGUGAGUUGGAAGAUCUAAGUCUGGUCAAAGUCCUUGAAUCCAGGAGAAAGAAGGCUCAUGUCAUCUUCAACACAAGAUUAGCAAUCUCAGGAAGCAAUGUGCCCUGGAGAACUGACAGCUAUUCUGAGGAUGUGGAUCAAGUACAGAGCACCCUAAAUCAAAGCAUCAGGAGAACUGUAUUUCUGUGACAGCUUAAUGGGCAAGUGGCACACAAUAUAUUUAUUUACACCCUGGCUACUUUUAAGACGAACCCACCAGGUGAUUUGCAGCUGUUCACUUAUGGUUAUACAGGUUUGGAUUAAAUAUUUUUUCAUUCUUAA